rnacentral:rRNA from 1 species
CCUACGGGAGGCAGCAGUGGGGGAUAUUGCACAAUGGGGGGAACCCUGAUGCAGCGACGCCGCGUGGGUGAAGGAGUGCUUCGGCAUGUAAAGCCCUAUCGGCAGGGAAGAAGCAAGACGGUACCUGACUAAGAAGCCCCGGCUAACUACGUGCCAGCAGCCGCGGUAAUACGUAGGGGGCGAGCGUUAUCCGGAUUCACUGGGUGUAAGGGGAGCGUAGACGGCCAUGCAGGCCAGGGGUGAAAGCCCGGGGCCCAAGCCGGGGACUGCCCUUGUAACUGCAUGGCUGGGGUGCGGAAGGGGCGGGGGGAAGUCGUGGUGUAGCGGUGAAAUGCGGAGAUAUCAGGAGGAACACGGACGGCGAAGGCGGCCGACGGAACCGCGAUUGACGUUGAGGCUCGAAAGCGUGGGGAGCGAACAGGAUUAGAUACCCGAGUAGUC